CUGCUUCUCCUCCAUCGCUCUCUGGAGAAAUCAAAAUGAUGAGGAGCUCUGACGUCCACCUUAAAACCCUAGGCCAUUCCGUCCGUACACUUGUCUUCUCGAUCUUCCCUCCUAAGCAGAAACCGCAGUCUCUCUCUCUCUUCCAUUCGCAUACUUACGAAUGUGAGUGAGGGCGGGCUUUCUCUUCCUCCCCAGAAUCAGAAUCAGAAUCAGAAUCAGCAUCCGGAGGAGUGUGGUGAAAAGGACCCGCCUUUUGAGGUGGGUGAUGGGAGUUACGGCGGCUUAGAGGGGGGGGGGGAAACCAUGCUUUCUCUCCCCGUGCGAGCUUAUUUCUUCUCCACUAGGUGGCAUCGUUUAUGUCAUCAUUCUGUAUCUGAAUCAGAACGGACUAAGCGUGUGAUAUCUAACCUACCUACCACUGAUUAUGAGUUAAAAAAAAGAUCAAAACUUUGCAAAUGGUUUUUUUUUAGAAAUUUGAUGAAAUGUGAUGAUUGAAGUGUUGUGUGGAUAUGUGAUUCGUGUGCAGCUUUGAUUUGAAAAGCUUAGUUGACCGAAACAAGCUCUCAACUUCAUCCCACCCACUUGGCGUAUGACUGACUAACUAUGUUGUUCCCAAGUUCGGCAAUCAUUCUGAUCCCACUGGCACUGGUGGGUGCAUAAGUGGGAGUGAGUGCAUUUACAUGGUAGUCUUCCAGUAUGGAUCGAUUCUCUUGUUUAAUGUACGGGAACACGAAGUUGAUGAGUAUCUUAAAGUGGUGGAGAAGCAUUCUUCUGGUUUACUCUCUGAAAUGAGAAAAGACGGUGAGCUUGCUCUUUUUUGCUCUAUAGCUUGAAAGGAUGCGAAAUAUGCUCAGAUAUGGGAGAGUUUCUUAGGGAUGAAUUUGAAUCGGACUCAGAGAUCUGCAAGCCUUGAUUUUAAGCUCAAGUUUGUAGAGCACAACAUUCGUUUCCUUCAGGAAAUACUUCAAAACAGAAAAUCAGAUUUUCUGGAGUGGCGGCUAAUCAUUAUCCUCAUCAGUGCUUGAAAUCGCCAUUUCUCUGUACGAUCUUGUCAGGAGAUCCUUGUGAGUUGUGACCAACUCUCUGCCAUCUCUUUUUUAAAUGCAUAUUCUUCCUCGUGGUGACAAGGAAUCACACUCAGUUUUCACGCUGUAAAGUGAUAGGAAAGCUCAUACAAUCAUAGUUUUAGAAAUGAGUUUCGUACCUUAUUCACUGCUUCUCUGCAGUCAAAGACAAAGUUAAUUUUGUUGAAAGUC